rnacentral:rRNA from 1 species
AACGAACGCUGGCGGCGCGCUUAACACAUGCAAGUCGAACGAGAAGGCGUAGCAAUACGCUUGUACAGUGGCGAACGGGUGAGGAAUACAUGGGUAACCUACCCUCGAGUGGGGGAUAACCCGCCGAAAGGCGGGCUAAUACCGCGUACGCUUCCGAUCUUGCGGGAUUGGAAGGAAAGCUGUCCCUUGGGGAUGGCGCUCAAGGAUGGGCUCAUGUCCUAUCAGCUUGUUGGAGGGUAACGGCCUACCAAGGCAUCGACGGGUAGCUGGUCUGAGAGGACGAUCAGCCACACUGGCACUGCGACACGGGCCAGACUCCUACGGGAGGCAGCAGUGAGGAAUAUUGCGCAAUGGGCGAAAGCCUGACGCAGCGACGCCGCGGUGGGGGAU